AACGAACGCUGGCGGCAGGCCUAACACAUGCAAGUCGAGCGCCCCGCAAGGGGAGCGGCGGACGGGUGAGUAACGCGUGGGAAUAUGCCCUUUGCUACGGAAUAGUCUCGGGAAACUGGGGGUAAUACCGUAUACGCCCUUUGGGGGAAAGAUUUAUCGGCGAAGGAUUAGCCCGCGUUGGAUUAGGUAGUUGGUGGGGUAAUGGCCUACCAAGCCGACGAUCCACAGCUGGUUUGAGAGGAUGAUCAGCCACACUGGGACUGAGACACGGCCCAGACUCCUACGGGAGGCAGCAGUGGGGAAUCUUAGACAAUGGGGGCAAUCCUGAUCUAGCCAUGCCGCGUGAGUGAUGAAGGCCUUAGGGUUGUAAAGCUCUUUCAGCUGGGAAGAUAAUGACGGUACCAGCAGAAGAAGCCCCGGCUAACUCCGUG
rnacentral:rRNA from 1 species